AUCAUCUACAUCAGGAUUUGCCGUUCCAAGCUUUUCUUCUCUUACCUUGAGUAUGUACUCUAAUAUCUCAAUUGCAUCACCUACCCUCCCCAUUGCAUCAUAGGUUGCAGCAAGAUUGCUAUACACUCCAAGAGUAUCCAAGUGACACGAGCCAUACUCCUGCUCUAAAAUCUCCCUUGCUUCUUCAAACAAUUCAGCUGCCUUAUCUAUCUUGUACUGUUGCACACUGGCCAACCCCAGCUGGUUCAACACAAUUCCAAAGAAGGCUGAUUUACUAUCCCCACUGGCCCGAAGCUUUGCUACACUACUCUCAAAAGAGCUUUGAGCUUCUCCAUACCUCCCAACCAUGUAAAACAUCACUCCCAUCUGUGCUUCUAUUCCUGCAAUUGUGCUAUGCUGUCCAGGCCGGUCUUCCAGCAACUUCAUUGCCUCGUUCAAGAGCUUCAAUGCCUCCUCAGGUUCAUUCAAAGAUUCAUAGAUGGCUGAGAUUUCUGUCAACCCAACAGCAAUCUCCUCAGUUGCAGUUUCAGGGGCUGGUCUUGCAUAUAUUCUCAAGGCAUUCUCACAGUAGGAUUUGGACUCCCUUAUCUUGCCUGUCUUGUAAUACAAAUCUGCUAGGCGGAUAAAGGCAGAUGCUACAGUAGGAUGAUUGUCACCCUUGGUAGAUUUGAAGACUGUCAGUGCUUUUUGGUAGGAAAAAAUUGCUUCGUCAAAUCGGCAAAGGGACACAUAAAUAUUGCCAAUGCAAAUGUCAAUAGCAGCAACCUCAUUGUCCUGACCAGUGGCAAUCAUUGCCAUGCUAGCAAGGACAAGUUGCUCGAGGGCAGAUUCAUAGUCUCCCUUUGCUUCACAGACAAGAGCCAUAAGCCGGCGAU
rnacentral:misc_RNA from 1 species